rnacentral:rRNA from 1 species
GGGUUGUGAGGUUAAGCGACUAAGCGUACACGGUGGAUGCCCUGGCAGUCAGAGGCGAUGAAGGACGUGCUAAUCUGCGAUAAGCGUCGGUAAGGUGAUAUGAACCGUUAUAACCGGCGAUUUCCGAAUGGGGAAACCCAGUGUGUUUCGACACACUAUCAUUAACUGAAUCCAUAGGUUAAUGAGGCGAACCGGGGGAACUGAAACAUCUAAGUACCCCGAGGAAAAGAAAUCAACCGAGAUUCCCCCAGUAGCGGCGAGCGAACGGGGAGCAGCCCAGAGCCUGAAUCAGUGUGUGUGUUAGUGGAAGCGUCUGGAAAGGCGCGCGAUACAGGGUGACAGCCCCGUACACAAAAAUGCACAUGCUGUGAGCUCGAUGAGUAGGGCGGGACACGUGGUAUCCUGUCUGAAUAUGGGGGGACCAUCCUCCAAGGCUAAAUACUCCUGACUGACCGAUAGUGAACCAGUACCGUGAGGGAAAGGCGAAAAGAACCCCGGCGAGGGGAGUGAAAAAGAACCUGAAACCGUGUACGUACAAGCAGUGGGAGCACAGAGCAAUCUGUGUGACUGCGUACCUUUUGUAUAAUGGGUCAGCGACUUAUAUUCUGUAGCAAGGUUAACCGAAUAGGGGAGCCGAAGGGAAACCGAGUCUUAACUGGGCGUUAAGUUGCAGGGUAUAGACCCGAAACCCGGUGAUCUAGCCAUGGGCAGGUUGAAGGUUGGGUAACACUAACUGGAGGACCGAACCGACUAAUGUUGAAAAAUUAGCGGAUGACUUGUGGCUGGGGGUGAAAGGCCAAUCAAACCGGGAGAUAGCUGGUUCUCCCCGAAAGCUAUUUAGGUAGCGCCUCGUGAAUUCAUCU